UACGAAGGGGGCUAGCGUUGCUCGGAAUCACUGGGCGUAAAGCGCACGUAGGCGGCUUUCUAAGUCAGGGGUGAAAUCCUGGAGCUCAACUCCAGAACUGCCUUUGAUACUGGAAAGCUUGAGUUCGGGAGAGGUGAGUGGAACUGCGAGUGUAGAGGUGAAAUUCGUAGAUAUUCGCAAGAACACCAGUGGCGAAGGCGGCUCACUGGCCCGAUACUGACGCUGAUACGCGAAAGCGUGGGGAGCAAACAGG
rnacentral:rRNA from 1 species